rnacentral:rRNA from 1 species
GACGAACGCUGGCGGCGUGCUUAACACAUGCAAGUCGAGCGGUAAGGCCCUUUCGGGGUACGACGAGCGGCGAACGGGUGAGUAACACGUGGGUGACCUGCCCUCCAGCUCUGGGAGUAAGCCUGGGAAACCGGGUCUAAUACUGGAUAUGACUCCAUGACGCAUGUUGUGGGGUGGAAAGCCUUGUGCGGCUGAGGAUGGGCCCGCGGCCUAUCAGCUUGUUGGUGGGGUGAGGCCUACCAAGGCGACGAUGGUAGCCGGCCUGAGAGGGCGACCGGCCACACUGGGACUGAGACACGGCCCAGACUCCUACGGGAGGCAGCAGUGGGGAAUCUUGCGCAAUGGGCGAAAGCCUGACGCAGCGACGCCG